UUACAUCCAGAAGACUCAACUAUGUCCGUGAGCUCACGCAGCACUAAAGAUGGUCUCCAUUCCAGGAACUGGGCCCCAUAAGUGAAACGUGUGCUAGCUGAUCUCAAACAAUCUGCUUGCUUACGGCUGCGAAUGAAGAACAACAUGCUUUCAGAUCCAACACAAACCAUGGUGUGCACCAACUCUCUCAAGACUCACCUGCAAGACCCAGAGCCUCGAACUUGGCAGUGGAGCCUCCUGUCAACAUCUGGUCCAAGCCAGGAGAGGAGCUCGUAUCCCUCAGCUGAUAGUGAUAAAUCUUCAUGAGCAGAAUGAAAUAGUGAUGACUGCUGUAGCUGCUGCACAGCCAAGAGACAUUGCUCUAGUGCUGCUGCUGACGUUGGCUAUGAUGAAAAUAUCUGAUGCUUCAGCUCUGGUCUUGGUACAUAAAGGUAAAUGUGACUUUCAGUAUCUUUCAAAAAAAAAAAACAACAACAAACCUGAUUUUCACUUGUAUACACAACAUUUUAUGAACAGAUUGAAAGAAUUCGUAUCAGAUUGUCUCAAUGUAUUCUUAAGACAACUGAUUCUUAAAGGUGAUUUUGGAGUGAUGAUGGCCACUUUUACAGAGUAUUGCUCUGUCAGCUUAAGCCUGUAUCUUUUCCCUUGCUUGUUGAUUACUUUACCAAUGUUCUCAGUAAAAAAUUGGGAUUCUGUCACAGUGUAAUACUGAUCCGUAUAGGUAUUGCCUUAAAUCAGGCUCUCGCACAUCCUUCAGCAAGCCCCAGUAAUGGCAGGGAGCAGCAGACACCUCUUGGUCUCUUAAUAUAUGAGGAGAGAGAGAAAAAGAAUUUGCUAAGGCUGAAGUUUUCACCUACCAUGGCACUGGGGAGCAGAACCGUGCUGACAAAGCUGGAGCUGAGAGAUUUACAGUGCGGUCCUUCCGUGGAGGGACCUCAAGAGGGGAGCCCACCACAAUGCAGUGCCAGCCAAACCAGUCAGUUGGCAGCCAUCAGGAAACCUGUGCAGACACAGUGCUGUGGCUGGCACAGAGUGGGGAACCAAGUAAAAUAUUGGGUGAAACAAGAGUGUCUUGGGAAAAAAAUGGUUUGAAAGAGCCUCUGUUGGCAAACACGGACUGAGGACAAAUGCCAAGCAAGCUCAGCUGGAGAAGCCUUAAACCUUUCAUAGAAAGCUAAAGCACAAAAGCUUAGACUAAUCCAACCUAUUUAUAUUAGUGUUUUCUGAGCUUAAUUACAAAUUUAAAAUGUUUCCAAAUGUGUGGAGUGUUUGUGUUUGGGUAGCUGGUCUGGCUUGGGCUUCAGCAGAGCAUAGGAAGCUGCUUGGACUGCACAGAAACCGUGCACCUCCAGGUGAAUGGACGCAUGGCCUCAGUGGACCUGGGGCUUGGGAGCAUGCUCAAGAGCAGUGAUGGGGUCAGCUCCCACUCUGCUGUCUCUGAUGGUUUCAUUUGGUUUCAUUUUAGCUCUUUUUUCUCAGUGUUUGUUAGUUGUAUAAAGUUCUGUGCUUGCCUAAACGCUCUCAAGUCACUACGUGGGACAGUGAUAGUGUAGGUUAUCAUUAAGGCUGUGUUCACUGUGAGGACUUGCACCCUCAGCAACUUUUCAGAUGACACCAAACUGAGUGGUGCAGCUGACACAACAGAAGGGACAGAUGCCAUCCAGAGGGAGCUGGACAUGCUCGAAAAGUGGGCACAUGGGAACAUA
ensembl:lncRNA